rnacentral:rRNA from 1 species
UACGAAGGGGGCUAGCGUUGCUCGGAAUCACUGGGCGUAAAGGGUGCGUAGGCGGGCUCUUAAGUCAGAGGUGAAAUCCUGGAGCUCAACUCCAGAACUGCCUUUGAUACUGAGAGUCUUGAGUACGGGAGAGGUGAGUGGAACUGCGAGUGUAGAGGUGAAAUUCGUAGAUAUUCGCAAGAACACCAGUGGCGAAGGCGGCUCACUGGCCCGUUACUGACGCUGAGGCACGAAAGCGUGGGGAGCAAACAGG